AACUUAAAGGAAUUGACGGAAGGGCACCACCAGGGGUGGAGCCUGCGGCUUAAUUUGACUCAACACGGGGAAACUCACCAGGUCCAGACACAAUGAGGAUUGACAGAUUGAGAGCUCUUUCUUGAUUUUGUGGGUGGUGGUGCAUGGCCGUUCUUAGUUGGUGGAGUGAUUUGUCUGCUUAAUUGCGAUAACGAACGAGACCUUAACCUGCUAAAUAGCCUGUAUUGCUUUGGCAGUACACCGGCUUCUUAGAGGGACUAUCGCGCUCAAGUCCGACCUGGAAGUUUGAGGCAAUAACAGGUCUGUGAUGCC
rnacentral:rRNA from 1 species